rnacentral:rRNA from 1 species
GACGAACCGUGCGAACGUUGUUCGGAAUCACUGGGCUUAAAGGGCGCGCAGGCGGCCUGCCAAGUCCGGGGUGAAAUCCUCCAGCUUAACUGGAGAAGUGCCUUGGAUACUGGCGAGCUCGAGCGAGGCAGGGGUGAUGGGAACUUCCGGUGGAGCGGUGAAAUGCGUUGAUAUCGGAAGGAACGCCGGUGGCGAAAGCGCAUCACUGGUCCUCUUCUGACGCUGAGGCGCGAAAGCCAGGGGAGCAAACGGG